rnacentral:rRNA from 1 species
GAUGAACGCUGGCGGCGUGCCUAAUACAUGCAAGUCGAGCGAACAGACGAUGAGCUUGCUCCUCUGACGUUAGCGGCGGACGGGUGAGUAACACGUGGAUAACCUACCUAUAAGACUGGGAUAACUUCGGGAAACCGGAGCUAAUACCGUAUAAUAUAUUGAACCGCAUGGUUCAAUAGUGAAAGACGGUUUUGCUGUCACUUAUAGAUGGAUCUGCGCCGCAUUAGCUAGUUGGUAAGGUAACGGCUUACCAAGGCUACGAUGCGUAGCCGAACUGAGAGGGUGAUCGGCCACACUGGAACUGAGACACGGUCCAGACUCCUAAGGGAGGGAGCAGUAGGGAAUCUUCCGCAAUGGGCGAGAGCCUGACGGAGCAACGCCGCGUGAGUGAUGAAGGUCUUCGGAUCGUAAAACUCUGUUAUUAGGGAAGAACAAAUGUGUAAGUAACUAUGCACGUAUUGACGGUACCUAAUCAGAAAGCCACGGCUAACUACGUG